rnacentral:rRNA from 1 species
UACGUAGGGAGCAAGCGUUGUUCGGAUUUACUGGGCGUAAAGGGCGCGUAGGCGGCAAUUCAAGUCAGCUGUGAAAUCCCCGGGCUUAACUCGGAACGGUCAGCUGAUACUGCUUUGCUAGAGUGCGGAAGGGGCAAUCGGAAUUCUCGGUGUAGCGGUGAAAUGCGUAGAUAUCGAGAGGAACACCUGAGGUGAAGACGGGUUGCUGGGCCGACACUGACGCUGACAGCGCGAAAGCCAGGGGAGCAAACGGG